rnacentral:rRNA from 1 species
AACGAACGCUGGCGGCGCGCCUAAUACAUGCAAGUCGAGCGAGAAGACGUAGCAAUACGUUUGUAAAGCGGCGAACGGGUGAGGAAUACAUGGGUAACCUACCCUCGAGUGGGGAAUAACUAGCCGAAAGGUUAGCUAAUACCGCGUACGCUCCUUGGACUUCGGUUCAGGGAGGAAAGCGAUACCGUGGGUACCGCGCUCUUGGAUGGGCCCAUGUCCUAUCAGCUUGUUGGUGAGGUAACGGCNCACCAAGGCUUCGACGGGUAGCUGGUCUGAGAGGACGAUCAGCCACACUGGCACUGCGACACGGGCCAGACUCCUACGGGAGGCAGCAGUAAGGAAUAUUGCGCAAUGGGCGAAAGCCUGACGCAGCGACGCCGCGU